CUACAUUUGUAAUGUAUAAGGAGAAUAUUGACACCUUGGAUGCUAUAAAUCAUCUAGCUAGGAGAACUGGAGUGAAACCAAAUAUGUUUGCCUAUGCAGGAACUAAGGAUCGUAGGAAAGGACAAGUCAGCUUGUGUCUGUUCCAAGGGUUGCUCCAGAAAGACUUUGCCAGGCUGCCUUCCACCGAUCUAUUCAUUUAGGUAACUUCAGGUUCAGGCCACAACC